AUACGGAGGGUGCAAGCGUUAAUCGGAGUUACUGGGCGUAAAGCGCGCGUAGGCGGAUAUUUAAGUCUCAUGUGAAAGCCCUGGGCUCAACCUGGGAACUGCAUGGGAUACUGGGUAUCUAGAAUACAGUAGAGGGUAGUGGAAUUUCAGGUGUAGCGGUUAAAUGCGUAGAGAUCUGAAGGAACAUCAGUGGCGAAGGCGACUACCUGGACUGAUAUUGACGCUGAGGUGCGAAAGCGUGGGGAGCAAACGGGAUUAGAAACCCUAGUAGUCC
rnacentral:rRNA from 1 species